rnacentral:rRNA from 2 species
UUAGAUACCCUGGUAGUCCACGCCGUAAACGAUGUCGACUUGGAGGUUGUUCCCUUGAGGAGUGGCUUCCGGAGCUAACGCGUUAAGUCGACCGCCUGGGGAGUACGGCCGCAAGGUUAAAACUCAAAUGAAUUGACGGGGGCCCGCACAAGCGGUGGAGCAUGUGGUUUAAUUCGAUGCAACGCGAAGAACCUUACCUACUCUUGACAUCCAGCGAACUUUCCAGAGAUGGAUUGGUGCCUUCGGGAACGCUGAGACAGGUGCUGCAUGGCUGUCGUCAGCUCGUGUUGUGAAAUGUUGGGUUAAGUCCCGCAACGAGCGCAACCCUUAUCCUUUGUUGCCAGCGAUUCGGUCGGGAACUCAAAGGAGACUGCCGGUGAUAAACCGGAGGAAGGUGGGGAUGACGUCAAGUCAUCAUGGCCCUUACGAGUAGGGCUACACACGUGCUACAAUGGCGCAUACAAAGAGAAGCGACCUCGCGAGAGCAAGCGGACCUCACAAAGUGCGUCGUAGUCCGGAUCGGAGUCUGCAACUCGACUCCGUGAAGUCGGAAUCGCUAGUAAUCGUGGAUCAGAAUGCCACGGUGAAUACGUUCCCGGGCCUUGUACACACCGCCCGUCACACCAUGGGAGUGGGUUGCAAAAGAAGUAGGUAGCUUAACCUUC